GCGGCCAUGGUGUAAUGGUAGCAUCGAAGCCUGUGGAGCUUUGGGACCGGGUUCGAUCCCCGGUGGCGGCC
rnacentral:tRNA from 1 species